rnacentral:rRNA from 1 species
GACGAACGCUGGCGGCGUGCUUAACACAUGCAAGUCGAACGGAAAGGCCUGUCCUUCCUUGUGUUGGACGGGUACUCGAGUGGCGAACGGGUGAGUAACACGUGAGUGAUCUGCCCCCAACUUGGGUAUAAGCCUGGGAAACUGGGUCUAAUUCCCGAUAGGACUGCAGGGUGGCGCCUGUGGUGGAAAACGAUUUUCUAGUGGUUGGGGAUGAGCUCGCGGCCUAUCAGCUUGUUGGUGGGGUAAUGGCCUACCAAGGCGGCGACGGGUAGCCGGCCUGAGAGGGUGGACGGCCACAUUGGGACUGAGAUACGGCCCAGACUCCUACGGGAGGCAGCAGUGGGGAAUAUUGCACAAUGGGCGGAAGCCUGAUGCAGCGACGCCGCGUGGGGGAUGACGGCCUUCGGGUUGUAAACUCCUUUCGACCGCGAGGAAGCCGCCUGGUUGGAAGGGUGGUGACGGUAGUGGUAGAAGAAGCACCGGCUAACUACGUG